UACGGAGAGUGCGAACGUUGUUCGGAUUCACUGGGCGUAAAGGGCACGUAGGCGGCUCGGCAAAUCGGUCGUGGAAUCCCGACGCUUACCGUCGGAACGGCGGCCGAAAAUACCGGGCUCGAGGGCGUGAGGGGUCACUGGAACUCCUGGUGAAGCGGUGAAAUGCGUAGAUAUCGGGAGGAACACCAAUGGCGAAGGCAGCUCGCUGGGACGGUACUGACGCUGAGACGCGAAAGCGUGGAGAGCAAACAGG
rnacentral:rRNA from 1 species